rnacentral:rRNA from 1 species
AAACUUUCAACAACGGAUCUCUUGGUUUUGGCAUCGAUGAAGAACGCAGCGAAAUGCGAUAAGUAAUGUGAAUUGCAGAAUUCAGUGAAUCAUCGAAUCUUUGAACGCACAUUGCGCCUCCUGGUAUUCCGGGAGGCAUGCCUGUUUGAGCGUCAUUACAACCCUCACG